AUUGAACGCUGGCGGCAGGCUUAACACAUGCAAGUCGAGCGGGGUGAUGGUGCUUGCACUAUCACUAGCGGCGGACGGGUGAGUAAUGCUUAGGAAUCUGCCUAUUAGUGGGGGACAACAUCUCGAAAGGGAUGCUAAUACCGCAUACGUCCUACGGGAGAAAGCAGGGGAUCACUUGUGACCUUGCGCUAAUAGAUGAGCCUAAGUCGGAUUAGCUAGUUGGUGGGGUAAAGGCCUACCAAGGCGACGAUCUGUAGCGGGUCUGAGAGGAUGAUCCGCCACACGGGGACUGAGACACGGCCCAGACUCCUACGGGAGGCAGCAGUGGGGAAUAUUGGACAAUGGGGGGAACCCUGAUCCAGCCAUGCCGCGUGUGUGAAGAAGGCCUUAUGGUUGUAAAGCACCUUAAGCGAGGAGGAGGCUCUUUUGGUUAAUACCCAGAAUGAGUGGACGUUACUCGCAGAAUAAGCACCGGCUAACUCUGUGCCAGCCGCCGCCGUAA
rnacentral:rRNA from 1 species